rnacentral:rRNA from 1 species
AGAGUUUGAUCCUGGCUCAGGAUGAACGCUAGCGGCAGGCCUAACACAUGCAAGUCGAGGGGCAGCACGUUAAAGAGUUUACUCUUUAUGGUGGCGACCGGCGGACGGGUGCGUAACGCGUAUGCAACCUGCCUGACACAGGGGGAUAAUCCGAAGAAAUUUGGUCUAAUACCCCAUAAUACCGAUAUAGGCAUCUAUGUUGGUUGAAAGCUUUGGUGGUGUCAGAUGGGCAUGCGUUGUAUUAGCUAGUUGGUGAGGUAACGGCUCACCAAGGCGACGAUACAUAGGGGGACUGAGAGGUUAACCCCCCACACUGGUACUGAGACACGGACCAGACUCCUACGGGAGGCAGCAGUGAGGAAUAUUGGUCAAUGGACGCAAGUCUGAACCAGCCAUGCCGCGUGCAGGAAGACGGCUCUAUGAGUUGUAAACUGCUUUUGUACGAGGGUAAACUCACCUACGUGUAGGUGACUGAAAGUAUCGUACGAAUAAGGAUCGGCUAACUCCGUGCCAGCAGCCGCGGUAAUACGGAGGAUUCAAGCGUUAUCCGGAUUUAUUGGGUUUAAAGGGUGCGUAGGCGGUUUGAUAAGUUAGAGGUGAAAUCCCGGGGCUUAACUCCGGAACUGCCUCUAAUACUGUUAGACUAGAGAGUAGUUGCGGUAGGCGGAAUGUAUGGUGUAGCGGUGAAAUGCUUAGAGAUCAUACAGAACACCGAUUGCGAAGGCAGCUUACCAAACUAUAUCUGACGUUGAGGCACGAAAGCGUGGGGAGCAAACAGGAUUAGAUACCCUGGUAGUCCACGCAGUAAACGAUGAUAACUCGUUGUCGGCGAUACACAGUCGGUGACUAAGCGAAAGCGAUAAGUUAUCCACCUGGGGAGUACGUUCGCAAGAAUGAAACUCAAAGGAAUUGACGGGGGCCCGCACAAGCGGAGGAACAUGUGGUUUAAUUCGAUGAUACGCGAGGA